GUGCUCAAUUCAGCAGCACAUAUACUAAGAAUGGAACAAUACAGAGAAGUUUGGCAUGGCCCCUGUGAAAGAAUGACACACAAAUUCAUGAAGCAUUCCAUAUGUUU
ensembl:snRNA U6 U6 spliceosomal RNA